AUCUAGCUGAAGUGUCCCAAAUGGGACGAAGCGACGCGCUUCCUGGAU
rnacentral:hammerhead_ribozyme from 1 species